UCUUUACGGUCAGGGACAGUAUGAGUGUAGCCAGAUCCUUUUCACUCUCUAUCCUUGUUUCAUUUUGUGGUUCACCGGAUCUCGCAUUUUCAUCGAGACGAGGUACAGAACGACCAGCUAGCUAGCCAAGCUAGUCGGUACAGCUCGCCCAAUCAAGCAGGAGAGACCAGCCUCCCCUGUACCCAGCUGUGUGUCCAUGAAGAGUGACUGGUCUAUGGGUCCUCCUAUAUCCUUUAGAGAGGGAGACUUUUCUACUGAACAAAGAAACCAACAGGAGAGAUCAGAGUCAGAGAUUCUCAGUGG